GCCUAGCCGUAAAAUAUUAAAUUACACACAAGCCACCAGGGGAUUACGAGGUAACCCUUAAAACUCAAAGGGACUUUGACGGUGCCCCACCCACCUAGAGGAGCCUGUUCUAUAAUCGACAACCCACGAUAUACCUUACCGCUUCUAGCCUAUUCAGUCUGUAUACCUCCGUCGCAAGCCUACCUUGUGAAUGCCACAUGUGGGCUAAAAGGUUUACCACCAACACGUCAGGUCAAGGCGCAGCUUACGUAGCGGAAAGCAAUGGGCUACAAUCUCUCUAACAGAACAUACGGAAUACUAUGUGCAACACAUAGUCAUGAAGGUGGAUUUAGUAGUAAAAAGAAAUCAGAGAGUUCUUUUUAAUUAGGCUCUGGGGCGUGUACACACCGCCCGUCACCCUCUUCAACCCCCCACGAAGAGAUAAGUCGUAACAUGGUAAGCGUACUGGAAAGUGCACUUGGAACAACAAA
rnacentral:rRNA from 1 species